UUGCUCUCGCUCCUCUCGCUCGGGUGAAGUCACUGCGCGCAAGCUCUGGGUUAGACACAGCAGCUACAAAACUUUCAAACGUAACCAAAACAGCCCGGGGCCAACUUCCAGACGCUGAGGAGACGGUGGUGCAGUCUCCAUGGUGACGGAGCAUCCUGAUCCCUCAUUUCCUCCUCUCUUCCUCUCCUUCAUCUCUCCCUCUGAUCCCCUGUUUCCACACUCGCUCGGUGCUGUCAGUGUGUCUGUGUUGGAGCCUGCAUGUGUGGUGGCCGCGGGGCAGGGAUGACACAGUCCCGCUGGAAUGAAGAGGGAACAGAGACUGGGCGUUCCUCGACACUGUUAAACCCACUGCACUACACAAUGAGCUCAUCUUAAUUCAGUUAAGCCAGGUGCAUCCAACUGUCUCCUGAUCACAGAGAGAAGAAUGCCAAGUCCCACAAGAGCCCACAGCAAGAGGAGAAAAGAGAAAGAGUGAGUGGUCCUCAGGUUUCACAGCUGCCGGCCCUGAUCAGCCCCAAAGUAAAUGGACUUGAGGAAAGCCAAUCCUAAUUGAUUCCAAGCCUCAAAGCUCUUUAGUAAACAUUGUGGAGCAAUGAAAAUGACUUGUUAUCCUAAUUCAUUGGAUGCUCUAUGUGAGUUGCACCGGCCAGGCAGAGGGAUCCAAGAUUAUAGUGAUCAGACAA